GACCUGAUAGCAUAAUGUUAGUGCAUCUGCUUCAGGUUGCAAGAAACAAGGAUCUUGAGCGGAAGGUCCCCGGUCAAUUCGGAGUCAGGUCG